rnacentral:rRNA from 1 species
GACGAACGCUGGCGGCGCGCCUAACACAUGCAAGUCGAACGGGGUUUAAGGAGCUUGCUUCUUAAACCUAGUGGCGGACGGGUGAGUAACACGUGAGCAACCUGCCCAAAAGAGGGGGAUAACGUCUGGAAACGGACGCUAAUACCGCAUGAUAUACCGGGGUGGCAUCACUCUGGUAUCAAAGGAGAAAUCCGCUUAUGGAUGGGCUCGCGCCCGAUUAGAUAGUUGGUGAGGUAAUGGCUCACCAAGACUGCGAUCGGUAGCCGGACUGGGAGGUUGGUCGGCCACAGUGGGACUGAGAGACGGCCCAGACUCCUACGGGAGGCAGCAGUGGGGGAUAUUGCACAAUGGGGGAAACCCUGAGGCAGCGACGCCGCGUGGGUGAAGACGGCCUUCGGGUUGUAAAGCCCUGUUAUGGGGGACGAUAAUGACGGUACCCCAUUAGAAAGCCACGGCUAACUACGUGCCAGCCGCCGCCGUAAGAC